rnacentral:rRNA from 1 species
GAGUUUGAUCGUGGCUCAGAUUGAACGCUGGCGGCAUGCCUUACACAUGCAAGUCGAACGGCAGCAUGAUCUAGCUUGCUAGAUUGAUGGCGAGUGGCGAACGGGUGAGUAAUACAUCGGAACGUGCCCUGUAGUGGGGGAUAACUAGUCGAAAGAUUAGCUAAUACCGCAUACGACCUGAGGGUGAAAGUGGGGGACCGCAAGGCCUCAUGCUAUAGGAGCGGCCGAUGUCUGAUUAGCUAGUUGGUGGGGUAAAGGCCCACCAAGGCGACGAUCAGUAGCUGGUCUGAGAGGACGAUCAGCCACACUGGGACUGAGACACGGCCCAGGACUCCUACGGGAGGCAGCAGUGGGGAAUUUUGGACAAUGGGCGAAAGCCUGAUCCAGCAAUGCCGCGUGUGUGAGAAGGCCUC